GUGCUCACUUCAGCAGCACAUACAUUAAAAUUAGAAUGCUACAAAGAAUAUUUGUAUGGCCCCUGCACAAGAAUGACACAAAAAUUUGUGAAGUGUCCCAUGAAAAA
rnacentral:snRNA from 1 species